UACGUAGGGGGCUAGCGUUAUCCGGAAUUACUGGGGCGUAAAGCGCGUGUAGGUGGUUCUGUAAGUAGGGCGUGAAAGCUCCCGGCUCAACUGGGAGAGGCCGUUCUAAACUGCAGAGCUAGAGGAUGGUAGAGGGAGGUGGAAUUCCAGGUGUAGCGGUGGAAUGCGCAGAUAUCUGGAGGAACACCUGUGGCGAAGGCGGCCUCCUGGACCAUUCCUGACACUCAGACGCGAAAGCUAGGGUAGCAAACGGGAUUAGAUACCCGCGUAGUCCCU
rnacentral:rRNA from 1 species